AAGGGAGAGGAAUAAGUAGAAAUCUACCCUCGAGUCGGGGAUAGCGGCGGGAAACUGCCGGUAAUACCCGAUAACGUCUUUGGACCAAAGGUGUGAUUCCGUCUGAGGAUGAGUCUACUUCCUAUUAGCUAGUUGGCGGGGUAAUGGCCCACCAAGGCAACGAUGGGUAGCAGGUGUGAGAGCAUGACCUGCCUCAUUGGGACUGAGACACUGCCCAGACACCUACGGGUGGCUGCAGUCGAGAAUCUUCGGCAAUGGACGAAAGUCUGACCGAGCGACGCCGCGUGCGGGAUGAAGGCCUUCGGGUUGUAAACCGCUGUCGGAGGGGAACAAAUGUACGGGGGUUCUCCCCUGUAUUUGAGUGAACCUAGGAGGAAGGAGAGGCUAAGCUCGUGCCAGCAGCCGCGGUAAGACGAGCUCUCCGAACGUUAUUCGGUAUCACUGGGCUUAAAGAGUUCGUAGGCGGUCUGGUAGGUGAGGUGUGAAAUCCCCCGGCUCAACCGGGGAACUACGCUUCAAACCGCCGGACUUGAGGGAGACAGAGGUGGGCGGAACAGAUGGUGGAGCGGUGAAAUGCGUUGA
rnacentral:rRNA from 1 species